UCCGUAGUACGAGAGGACCCGGACGAAGCGACCGCUCGUGUCCCGGCUGUGCCGCCAGGCGCAACGCCGGUUAGCGAUGUCGCGCGGGGAUAACCGCUGAAUGCAUCUAAGUGGGAAACCCUCCCCAAGAUGAACACUCCCGAGCCGUAAGGCUCCUCAAGGGCCCUGGGAGACUACCAGGUUGAUAGGCGGCAGGUGUAAGGCGCGCGAGCGCUUCAGCCGAGCCGUACUAAUUGCCCGUGAGGCUUGAUCUCUCC
rnacentral:rRNA from 1 species